AUUUGGGUAGCUUAAAUAAAGCACAUCUCUGAAGAAGAUAAGAUGAAUCUCUCCCUAAAUA
rnacentral:tRNA from 1 species